GCCAGUUUGGCUCAAUGGAUAGAGCAUUGGCCUGUGGACCCAAGGGUCCCAGGUUCAAUUCCAGUCAAAGGCA
rnacentral:tRNA from 1 species